GCCUUCGUGGUGUAAUGGUCAGCACACCGAGCCGGUAUUUCAGAGGUCCGCGGUUCGAUCCCCGGCGAAGGCA
rnacentral:tRNA from 1 species